rnacentral:lncRNA from 1 species
AGCCGGGGUCGAUCAAGGAGGGAGCGAGGUCCCGAGGUAGAGGGACUGGGGCCGGCUGAGGGUGAACUGGGGGACCCUGUGGUGGCGCCUGCUGAUGUGGUGGGGGCACUGGAAUGUGCUCUGGCGGCACCUGUUGGUACUGUGGCUGUGGUACCGGGUCGUACCGCGGCUGUGGUGCCGGGUGGUACCGUGGAGGAACAAGCUCCGCCGGGGUGGCUCGGGAUCAGCCUACUGUAGCGGGGGCUCAACCUGCGCUAGCGGAGGAGGUCCCGGUAACUCCCUUCUCUCCUCUUGCCUUCGCUGGGCAGCUGCGAGAACCUCCACCAUCUCGAAUAGUCUAUCUAAAU